rnacentral:rRNA from 1 species
CUACGGGUUGCUGCAGUGAGGAAUAUUGCACAAUGGGGGCAACCCUGAUGCAGCAACGCCGCGUGGAGGAUGACGCAUUUCGGUGUGUAAACUCCUUUUAUCAGAGAAGAACCAUGACGGUAUCUGAUGAAUAAGCUCCGGCUAACUCCGUGCCAGCAGCCGCGGUAAUACGGAGGGAGCAAGCGUUAUUCGGAAUCACUGGGCGUAAAGGACGCGUAGGCCGGUCUGUAAGUCAGGUGCGAAAUGCAAUGGCUCAACCAUUGAACUGCACUUGAAACUGCGGACCUAGAGUAUGGAAGGGGCAGAUGGAAUUAGUGGUGUAGGGGUAAAAUCCGUAGAUAUCACUAGGAAUACCGAAAGCGAAGGCGAUCUGCUGGGACAUAACUGACGCUGAGGCGUGAAAGCGUGGGGAGCAAACAGGAUUAGAUACCCGAGUAGUC